AAAGACUUAGUCCUAACCUUACUGUUAAUUUUAGCUAGACAUAUACAUGCAAGUAUCCGCACUCCAGUGUAAAUGCCCUUACCCUCUCCCUACAGAUAAAGGAGCAGGCAUCAGGCACGCCCCGGCAGCCCAAGACGCCUUGCUUAGCCACACCCCCACGGGUAUUCAGCAGUAAUUAACAUUAAGCAAUAAGUGAAAACUUGACUUAGUCAUAGCUACUUAGGGCUGGUAAAUCUUGUGCCAGCCACCGCGGUCACACAAGAAGCCCAAAUUAACCGUCAUACGGCGUAAAGAGUGGUACAACAUUAUCCAGACAACUAAGAUUGAACUAUAACUAAGCUGUCAUAAGCUAAAGAUAUAUAUAAGAUCUUCCCUUAAAGUGAUCUUAGCACCCCUACGACUGACGAGUCACCACGAAAGCUAGGACCCAAACUGGGAUUAGAUACCCCACUAUGCCUUGCCCUAAAUCUCGAUGCGCUACCCUACUAAGCCAUCCGCCUGAGAACUACGAGCACAAACGCUUAAAACUCUAAGGACUUGGCGGUGCCCCAAAACCACCUAGAGGAGCCUGUUCUAUAAUCGACAACCCACGAUGCACCCGACCCCCCCUUGCUAAGCAGCCUAUAUACCGCCGUCUCCAGCUCGCCCUUCAUGAAGGCCUAAUAGCGAGCACAAUAGCUCCAACUCUCGCUAGUAAGACAGGUCAAGGUAUAGCUAACGGGGUGGAAGAAAUGGGCUACAUUUUCUAAAAUAGAAUAAACUCUAAACGAAAAGGAGCGUGAAAUCGCCCCUGGAAGGCGGAUUUAGCAGUAAAAAUAGACAAUAAAGCUCUCUUUAAGCUGGCUCUGAGGCACGUACAUACCGCCCGUCACCCUCCUCACAGGCUACCAAACAAACUAUAACUAAUAUACUCUUAUGCUAAAGAUGAGGUAAGUCGUAACAAGGUAAGUGUA
rnacentral:ncRNA from 1 species